rnacentral:lncRNA from 1 species
CAUGUCACUUAGCCUCUUUCUUCUGAUUCCCAACUUAACACAAAACAAACAGCAUUGCAUGAAUCUAAGGAGACAUGUUUUAGUGGGAUUGUGCGGUGUCAGGAAUAUACUGCUUCAGGGGAACCGAUCAGAUUGAACUUCUUAUCUUGAUUGAAUAUUCAGCCUAAGAAAUAAAUCAAAGGCUUGUUGCUAAGUACCAUCUGGCUAUAAACUCAUAAACAAUGGCACUUCGGCAGAGCAGGGUGAUCCACCUGUUUUAUAAGCAAAACAAGUAGCUCUGUCUUGUCAAUGACUACAUGCUCAGAUCCUCAUUACAGAUGGAACAUUGUUUCUUUGAACAUAGUUGAAGAAUGUGCAUGCAAUGCAUUGGCAUGCCCUUAAUAAAUUCAAGCAUAGUUU